GGGGUUGAAGCAUUAAAACUAAUCAGGAUAGUCUGGUAAUGGCGUGUCUCUCCGCAGUUGCCCGGCGAAUGUAAAGACUGACUAAGCAUGUAGUACCGAGGAUGUAGAAAUUUCGGACGCGGGUUCAACUCCCGCCAGCUCCACCA
rnacentral:tRNA from 1 species